rnacentral:rRNA from 1 species
UACAGAGGUGCCGAGCGUUAGGCGGAAUCACUGGGCUUAAAGCGUGCGUAGGCGGGCGUCUAAGUGUCUUGUGAAAUCCCACGGCUCAACCGUGGAACUGCCUCAGAUACUGAUGGCCUCGAGGAAGGUAGGGGCAUGCGGAACUGUAGGUGGAGCGGUGAAAUGCGUUGAUAUCUACAGGAACUCCGGUGGCGAAAGCGGCGUGCUGGACCUUUUCUGACGCUGAGGCACGAAAGCUAGGGGGAGCAAACGGG